GGGUUUCCCUGAUAGCUCAGAUGGUAAAGAAUUCACCUACAAUGUGGGAGACCUGAGUUCGAUCCCUGGGUUGGGAAGACCCCCUGGAGAAAGGAAUAGCUACCCACUCCAGUAUUUUGGCCUGGAGAAUUCCGUGGACUGUAUAGUUUAUGGGGUCGCAAAGAAUCAACACAACUGAGCGACUUUCACUUUCACUUUCAGAGAGAAAAGAGGUUGUGAAACUUUCUCCUAGGAGACCAAGAGGGUGAAGGAAUCAUGGAAUCCUCCUGGGGAUUUGCAGGCACACAGAGAUACUUCCUGAGUCUCAAGAAACCUCGACGUUUGCUUCAACUGAUUGGAUGAGGCCCACCCACAUUAUCAAGGGUAAUCUUCCUUUCAAGUCAACUGAUUGCAUCAGACCAGAGCACCCAACUAAGGAAACUGGAGACCAUGAGAAGCCACUGGAAGUCUGUGAGCAGGAGAAUGACAUUGUAACAUGACCAAAGGGGACGCCGGUUUGAUUCCUGGUCCAGGAAUUAAGAGCCCACAUGCUGCAGAACAACUAAGCCCACUCGAGGCAACUAUUGAGCCCUCUGGAGCCUAUAUGCUACAACAAGAGAGUCUGUGUGCCACAAUGAAAGAUCCAGAAUGCCUCGACUAAGACCUGAUGCAGCCAGGUAAAUAAAUAAAUACUUAAAAAAAAGUUCUCUCAAGCACUAUUUAUAAGAACCAACAAAUUAGAAAAACUAAACAUCCAAGCAACAUCUCUGUGAAGGUGGAGAAUCCAUCUGGCCAGAUGUCAUUAUGUGCCAGUUUAUUACAGACCGCAAGAGACUUUCUCAGAACUAACUCCCUUAAUUCAGGGUUUUCUUCUGUAUUUUCCUGGAGGGCAAGAGUUUCCAACAUUUGGGGGUAGAAAAUAAUGUAGCAGGGGUCCACGCCAAUGCUGCUUUAUUCCAAGAAGGAAUGCAUGGAUGACAGUUUCAAGUGUUUGAUGUCCAACCCCUCCUAAAACUGUAACAUAACAGCCGGCAGAUGAAGAGGCUGAUCUAAAUCUCCUUUCUGUGGUUUUACUUUUGUUCUGGCAGACUGAGCAACACGAAAAAAAAAAAAAAAAAAUUACAGCGCGUGCAUGGGAAACAUUCUUCCCUUUUUUCUUGAGUAACGGACACGUUGGAGAGCCAGCGUGAGUAAGGGGC
ensembl:lncRNA